rnacentral:rRNA from 1 species
UCCGUAGGCGGGCUAAUAAGUCAGAGGUGAAAGUUUGCAGCUUAACUGUAAAAUUGCCUUUGAUACUGUUAGUCUUGAAUGAUUGUGAAGUGGUUAGAAUAAGUAGUGUAGCGGUGAAAUGCAUAGAUAUUACUUAGAAUACCGAUUGCGAAGGCAGAUCACUAACAAUUUAUUGACGCUGAUGGACGAAAGCGUGGGGAGCGAACA